UACGUAGGGGGCAAGCGUUUGUCCGGAAUCAUUGGGCGUAAAGAGCGCGUAGGCGGCCCUGUAAGUCCGCUGUGAAAGUCAAGGGCUCAACCCUUGAAAGCCGGUUGAUACUGUCGGGCUAGAGUCCGGAAGAGGCGAGUGGAAUUCCCGGUGUAGCGGUGAAAUGCGUAGAUAUCUGGAGGAACACCGGUGGCGAAGGCGGCAUCCUGGACCGGUAUUGACGCUGAGGCGCGAAAGCCAGGGGAGCAAACGGG
rnacentral:rRNA from 1 species